GACGAACGCUGGCGGCGUGCCUAAUACAUGCAAGUCGAACGCUUCUUUCCUCCCGAGUGCUUGCACUCAAUUGGAAAGAGGAGUGGCGGACGGGUGAGUAACACGUGGGUAACCUACCCAUCAGAGGGGGAUGACACUUGGAAACAGGUGCUAAUACCGCAUAACAGUUUAUGCCGCAUGGCAUAAGAGUGAAAGGCGCUUUCGGGUGUCGCUGAUGGAUGGACCCGCGGUGCAUUAGCUAGUUGGUGAGGUAACGGCUCACCAAGGCCACGAUGCAUAGCCGACGUGAGAGAGUGAUCGGCCACACUGGGACUGAGACACGGACCAGACUCCUACGGGAGGCAGCAGUAGGGAAUCUUCGGCAAUGGACGAAAGUCUGACAGAGCAACGCCGCGUGAGUGAAGAAGGUUUUCGGAUCGUAAAACUCUGUUGUUAGAGAAGAACAAGGACGUUAGUAACUGAACGUCCCCUGACGGUAUCUAACCAGAAAGCCACGGCUAACUACGUG
rnacentral:rRNA from 1 species